rnacentral:lncRNA from 1 species
CGCAAGCCGAGGGAGCCGGCUCCGGCCUCGGCCAGCCCAGAGAAGGGCUCCCAUGGUCCAGCGGCGGGCUGAAGGGCUCCUCAAGCACGGCCAGAAUGGGUGCCGAGGCCGAGGAGGCACCGAGAGCGAGUGAGGGCCACGAGGGCUGCCAGCAUGCUGUCACCUCUCAAUACCUCUCCUGGCUUCCGGGACCUUAAAGCUGUCCAUAACCAAGAUGUGGAAAAUUGAGGCUCAGAAAAAAUGAACUUGUUGAAAUCUAUCCAGGUGGAGAUAAAUAAAAUUCAAGAUACCUCAGGCUCUCAGCAAGUCACAAGAAAACAAGAAAACAUGAUGCUGUCUGAGCAAUUGGUACAGGAAGCCUGGACACAUUGCUGAGGAAAUCAGAACUUCUUUGCAAAAGAUGGUGACAAUCUGUGGCCAAGAUGCUGCCGGGAGAUGAUUACAGGCACAGGAGAGGAGUUUCAGGCAGUUCCACUAAGAAAGUUCCCAUCUCAAGAGGAUGCUGUUUGAUUUCUUGUUAUUCACCAUCCGUGUGAUCCAUGGGGGGAAGAAAAGGUAUUAAAGAAGAGAAGCAUAUUAAUGUUAUUACUCCUUUCUAACUUUACAGAGUGGCUACUCUUUUAAAUUCUUUUGAGACAAACACCUGAAAGAAAAUGUUGAUAUGUGAGAUAAGCAAUAAGCAGUGUUUGAAUACAUGCAUAUGUUAAAGGACACCAUUAAAAUUAAAAAUAACUCUAGAAAGGAAACAAAG